UUAAAAAUGAAAAUAAUAUCUGGUGUUUUAUGAGGUUUUUUAUUUUAAAAUUGAGGCUUUAGGGCUGCAACAAAAAUAACAUUAAUCACAUUUAUAGGCCUUUUGUCACACCCCGCUCUAGUCCAGUCUCCUCCUAGGUCAGUCAGUGUCACCUGCUGGCUCCAUGAUGAUUGGCUGAAAGUUUCCACCUGUGCUCUGUCUGCUGCCAGUUCUCCUCUCCUGUCACGUUUAAUUACUUUGGUUAAGAAACUCUGCUGCAUGGACUUUACUAGAUGCUUUUUAAGCUCCCAUGGGCCACACAAAACGGCUUGACGGGCCGCAUUUGUCCCCUGGGCCUUAAGUUUGACAUAUAUGGUUUAAACCAACUUUCCUGACUGUGCCUUGGCCUAGUGUUCUGAAACCCAUAUUUGUUUGGUUUACCUUCGUAUGUUCCGACGGAGUUCUUCCGUCUUCUCAAUAAGUGCCGCUGACGUUGGAAGGACGUGCCUUCAGCAGCUCGUGUUUACGGAAGCUCGGUCGACCUGAAUCCGGUGUAUUCAGGGAUGAGGAUAGACUUUCCCAGAGGUUCGGUACAAAAGACUCCGUCUCUGUACACCAGCUGUCCUCUGAGAACGGUGGCGUGCACCAGUCCUCGCAACGUGAUGCCAAG